UGCAACGCCCAAAUAAUCGUCGGGUUUAGAUACCAAAUUUCCCGCGAAAUGUUUUAUUUUUCCCCCGAUUUCUUUCCUUCUCCACUUCUCUCUGUUAGUUCGAUCACCACCCCAAGCUUAGUUCCUCCACCCCAUUUUCCCCCCGCGGAAGCUAUGGUCGAACUUGUCUCCUCCCCAUAGUUUGCACACGGCUACCCUUCGACCCAGCAACCCAUCAGACUCCAUCUUCAAAUCCUCACAACGUCCAACCUUCUCUGUGUCCUCUCACGGCGUCAACUCCUUCGUCCAAAGCUUCUGGCCCAGUUUUUCGAGUUCCAUUUCCCCACAUCCGCCUUCUCCCUGUCGUUCUUGGUUCACCCAUUUCACAUUGCUUCAAAUCCCACAAUCGGCUACCCCUACGUGAAUAUUGUCUGUCUUGGUUAAGCUAGCCCUAGGUUUAUUUCUUCCCUUACAAAUUUCAAUUACCUGCCUCCAUUUCGACGCAAUAUUCAAAACUUGGGCAGUCCUGUUGCGAUCUAUUUCUGCUCCAGGGGAAAUCGAUAUAAACAUACAGUAAGAAGCUGCCACAUUCAGGGUCGAAUUGACACUCUUGUUUAGACCUCCACUAACAGAACUGGCAACCCUUUCCCCAGCCAAGGAUGACUUGAGGACUCUAAGUAGGACAAUCUCUCAUUGACUGGGCUUCAGAGCAAGACUUCAUUCUAGAAACAAAAAUUGUCUUCCUUUCAAGUGCACUUACGAAUUCAUACUUUAUUAACAAUUUAAAUCUCAACCAAUUCCUAAAAACAAACUUUGAUAAAUGAAAGUGAAAAUCCAUUCAUUUCACACUCUGAUCAAAGAAGAUAAUUAAUGAAAUGUAGAAAGGCCUUCUAGUUUCUAGAGAAAAAAACUAUUUCUUCAUUAAACUCCUGUAAGUAGGGGAAAGAUUGUAUUAUAUUAUUAGAUUAAAUUGAAAAAAAAAAGGGUUGAAACUUAAAAGGGAAAUUAAUGCUUGUGGGGUCUCAAACUCAAAGCAGAAUUAAGUCCAAUGAACGAGUUAGAUUGCAAGGAAAACUUAACCAGUAUAUAUUAAAUAUUGAUUAUGCAGAUCUCUCAGAACUCCCAUGCAGUAAGAAGCUGCCACAUUCAGGGUCGAAUUGACACUCUUGUUUAGACCUCCACUAACAGAACUGGUAACCCUUUCCCCAGCCAAGGAUGACUUGAGGACUCUAAUUAGGACAAUCUCUCAUUGACUGGGCUUCAGAGCAAGACUUCAUUCUAGAAACAAAAAUUGUCUUCCUUUCAAGUGCACUUACGAAUUCAUACUUUAUUAACAAUUUAAAUCUCAACCAAUUCCUAAAAACAAACUUUGAUAAAUGAAAGUGAAAAUCCAUUCAUUUCACACUCUGAUCAAAGAAGAUAAUUAAUGAAAUGCAGAAAGGCUUUCUAGUUUCUAGAGAAAAAAACUAUUUCUUCAUUAAACUCCUGUAAGUAGGGGAAAGAUUUUGUUAUAUUAUUAGAUUAAAUUGGAAAAAAAAAAGUUGAAACUUAAAAGGGAAUUUAAAGAAAAAUAAUAAUUGAUUUUAGUAAUUAUGGGCAUUGUUGAAUGGUCAAACCAAAACGACAAUGGUCAAGCCAUUAUGCAUCGAUUUUCCAUCUGUCAAACCUACUUAUUGUACCGUCAAAAGUGUUAGUAUUAACUUAUUUCCAUCUUUUUAUGAUCACCACCAUCAUCCAACAAUCAAGUUUUUGGGCCAGAUCUACACUUUAUCAUUACUUUUCAAAAGAGAAAAGAAAGAAAAAAACAGUCGGUCAUCGUCUCCUGACCUUUAUAGUCUUAUCAACCUAAACCAGAAUAGUUUGAUUAAACCACUUUCAAUGAUAGGCUAGCCUCUCAUUUAGUAUAAAAAUGCUUACAUUUUAUUGUCUAUUUUUUUUUUUUUUUAGGUUUUAGAAUCCUGAUAAAAGAUGUUCAAAAAGAUUUCCCAAUGGUCAAAUAAUGUGUAAAAUCAUGUAAUCAUUCCUAAAUCAAUAAUUUUACGUUUUUUGAUUUGACAUGAUCACCAAAACAUUGUUCCUAGAUCAAAAGGACUUGACUGAAAUUGCUCUGCACAUGGCAGGUCCCACGUACAGGUUCUCUGAUUUCCACGUUGGGAAUGGUCCAAAACUAGAGAUCAUUACCAGUUUUAAAACACUAGCAUGAUGACCCAAAACAAGUCCAACCUUAAGUACUCUCUCACUUUAGCAACGCUAGCUGCCCCUUGAUACUCGCAUACAUAUGGAAGAAACUUUCAUGGUUAUAAAACAAGACGUGUUUUAUUCUACUCAAUCCCAUGUAAUCAUCAGAACUCUAAUGACUCCUUCAGUCACCCUAGCUAGCUGUCUGUCUCCAUAGCUAGCCUAUACCAUAAAUUGAAGGAUACAGAGUUUUCUAUUUUUUUUCUUGCAAAGAUUACUUGUAGUAGUUUGAAUUGAAAGUGGGGUCUAGGUUAAUUUAAAACAUUCAGGUAAGAUGUCAGGAAGCAUUGGCCCAUUCUAUGUAUGAUAAUAUAUGCAGCACUAUCCUGCCUGACAGCUGGUGGGUGCAAUGUUUGCAGUACAUACCCAAUUUAGAGGAGCCGAACCCAGAAUCUUAAUCUAAUUAAUUUUCUUUAGUAUAGUCUCCAUCCUAUAUAAAUAUUGCAGGCUCUCACCUCUCUGUCUUUCAUAUAAAGUUACUGCAUUCGAUCUAGUGCUAGUCCAAAACUAACUAGUGGGAAGAGAGAGAGAGAGAGAGAGAGAGAGAGGGAAAAAAAAAAGAGGCUGAAAACAUUUAUGGCAGCGAAAGAGAGCAGCACAAGCUUUAGUAACCAACAGGCCUGUGAACCUUGCAGAUCGUUUGGGCAGAAGUGCAGCCAUAUUGUGAAGAAGCAGCACACCAAGUUCUACAUCGUCCGCCGCUGCAUAGCAAUGCUCCUCUGUUGGCGCGACCGUGGGGAGCAUUGAGAGAGGCAGCAGCAGCUUGUUAAUUUGGUUUAGAAAUAUAUAUGAUCAGUCUAUAUAUAUCUAUAAAUAUAUUAAUUAGGAUGUAAUUAAUGAGUGGUUCUGUAUGUUAGAAACUGUAGUUCUUUCUCUUUCCUCCUUUGUUUUCUUUUUCAUUAGAUAGUUACUCUUUUAUAAUGGUUCAGCAAAAAUUAGCUUUUCAAAUGGCAUAUAGAUCUGUCAAACAAAGCUGCUUUCUUAUAACUAAAAUUGUUAUGAAAGCUUCAUCUUCUGUUUCUAUCUAUCUUUUCUUCUUUUAUUGCAAGCAAUACCACUGUGAGACCAUGGAUGCUACUGUGAGCUCAUGGAGACUGAGAUUGGAUGGGAUUCUGCAUAUCAAACUCUCAAGCCUGGCUUUUGGAUUUAAGUUGGUCAUCUUUCUUCAUCACUAUUUGUUUUAACUGUUAAGAGAUUAGUUGGCUUUGUUUUUAAGAUGCAGGGGCAUACGUUUAUCAAAAAUAUUAUUUCCUUUUUCCCCCCUCUA